AAACCAGAUUUCUUCUCUCUCUCCUCACUCUCUCUCUCCCCACAUCUCUUCUCUCUCUCCCUCUCGAUUGUUCAGCCGCCACCCUCCCCAAUUUGCAGCCACCUCCAGCCGCCACCACACCUCACCGGACCAGCCAAGGAAGCACCGCCGCCACCUCCGCAACCCAGCCAGCCUGCUCCGCCGUCCAGCUGCCACGAAGCUGCCAGAAAAACCCAGAAAAUCGCGGCAGAUUUUCUCCGAUUUUCAAAUCCCUCAAACUCCCUCCUUCGGCCACCAAAUCGGACGGAUUAGGCACCCGGGCACCAGGUGACCCGCAGGAGGGACCUUCAAAGGGUCCAGCUAGCUCAGAGUAUCUGCAGUAGUCGUGCGUCAGUGCGCCACCACCGGGCCGAGUCCAUUUUCCGCCGCCUUCCUUGACAAAGUAGGGUUUUGUUUAUUUAUUUUUGUACUUGUAACCUACUCUGUAUAAAUGCUCUGAUAUUGCCCUAGAACACUUGUCUAACUGUUAGUAUGUAAAAUCUUUGUAUACUGGCAGUUGGUGUAUAUUUUUA